rnacentral:lncRNA from 1 species
GGAGAUGGAGCACGGCCACCCAUCGCGGAGCGGCAGAACCGGCCGAAGCCGGUGGUGCACGCCGACACCUGCGGUCGGCCCGACGGUGUCACGACGGCCACAACGGGAAGAUCCCCCUUCGGCUCGUCUGCUCCGACCACCUCCGGUCUAGAUCAAGCCGGUUCCACCCAUGGGAACCGGACUUGCACGAGCCGAGGACCCUCCCCAUGAAUCGAGAGGUAGGUUCAUCUUUGGAUUUUUAGAUCUAGGGUUUUAAUGGAAAGGGAAACCACCAUCGGAUGAAGGAGAAAGGUCCUCGGCCAAUGUCGGAUCACAGCCGAUCAUUGCAUAAACCUUUAUCCUCCCUCCUCUUCAUCUUCUUCCCACCCCUAUUCCUCUGUUAAUCAUCUCCUAGCUAGAAUAGAUCUAACCUAAUAGCAUGUAGAUCAUGAAUGGGGAAUGAGUUAAGGGUUUACCUAGCUCCGAGGAGCUGUGAAGUAUUUCCGGCGACUACUGUGCCUGCUCCGGCGGCACAAGGUGAUGACAAGCUGGAGAUCCUCCCUCCUCC